AUUGAACGCUGGCGGCAGGCCUAACACAUGCAAGUCGAGCGAGUGGCGGACGGGUGAGUAAUGCUUGGGAAACUAGCUUAUGGAGGGGGAUAACUACGGGAAACUGUAGCUAAUACCGCAUACCAUCGGAUGAGCCCAAGUGGGAUUAGGUAGUUGGUGGGGUAAAGGCUCACCAAGCCGACGAUCUCUAGCUGGUCUGAACGGAUGACCAGCCACACUGGGACUGGGACACGGCCCAGAAUCCUACGGGAGGCAGCAGUGGGGAAUAUUGCACAAUGGGGGCAACCUGACGCAGCCAUGCCGCGUGAAGGAAGAAGGCCUUCGGGUUGUAAAGUUCUUUCGGUAGCGAGGCGUUAACUACAGAAGAAGCACCGGCUAACUCCGUGCCAGCAGCCGCGGUAAUUC
rnacentral:rRNA from 1 species